ACUAAGCGUACACGGUGGAUGCCUAGGCAAUCAGAGGCGAUGAAGGACGUGCUAAUCUGCGAUAAGCGUCGGUAAGGUGAUAUGAACCGUUACAACCGACGAUUUCCGAAUGGGGAAACCCAGUGCAAUUCGUUGCACUAUCGUUUGAUGAAUACAUAGUCAAACGAAGCGAACCGGGGGAACUGAAACAUCUCAGUACCCCGAGGAAAAGAAAUCAACCGAGAUUCCCCUAGUAGCGGCGAGCGAACGGGGAGCAGCCCAGAGUCUUAAUCAGCAUUAGCAUCAGGAGAACGGUCUGGAAAGUCCGGCAGUAAAGGGUGAUAGCCCCGUAUCCGAAGGUGUUAGUGUUGUGAACUCGACGAGUAGGGCGGGACACGUGUUAUCCUGUCUGAAUAUGGGGGGACCAUCCUCCAAGGCUAAAUACUCCUGAUUGACCGAUAGUGAACCAGUACCGUGAGGGAAAGGCGAAAAGAACCCCGGCGAGGGGAGUGAAAUAGAACCUGAAACCGUGUACGUACAAGCAGUGGGAGCCUUGAUUUAUC
rnacentral:rRNA from 1 species